CCACACCGACCCCAUGGUGUUAGAGCAGCUCACCAGGGAUAAACCCUCACAGACCCCAUGGUGUUAGAGCAGCUCACCAGGGAUGAACCUCACAGACCCCAUGGUGUUAGAGCAGCUCACCAGGGAUAAACCACACAGACCCCAUGGUGUCAGAGAAGCUCACCAGGGAUAAACCACACAGACCCCAUGGUGUCAGAGCAGCUCACCAGGGAUAAACCACACAGACCCCAUGGUGUUAGAGCAGCUCACCAGGGAUAAACCACACAGACCCCAUGGUGUUAGAGCAGCUCACCAGGGAUAAACCACACAGACCCCAUGGUGUUAGAGCAGCUCACCAGGCCUAAUCCACACAGAAUGGCAGUGUUUGAAUAGAAAGACUGGAAACCUGUAGGAGGGGGCGAGGCUUCGUCAUAUAGGUUUAUUUCAUUGGUUUAAACGACUCAAGACCCCGCCUUGAUAUUAAAAAAAAGAGUGAGGGAGGGAGACAGUGACAGAGGAGGAGAGAGGAAACAAGAUCAACCAGUGAAACAGUAAGAUAGUCACCUAUUAAUCGGAGUGAUUUUUCGACCGUGCUUUUUGGACAGGAGCACAACACAUACCAUUCAAACCUGUAGGCUCCUUUCCCUAAUCAUGUGUCUCUAUAUAGGCGCCUACACCGGAAACAGCUGCCUAUCCUAUUAUUCCUAGCACUUGGAUAACUAAGUUUUUGGCAUUUAAAGGUGGAUCAGUGUAAUAGCCUACACGAAAUCUGUAGGGGAAAAACAUUUUUCACAACAAGCGGCUGGAUGAUGCUGCUCAUGUGUGUGUAAAAGUCUGCAUUUUCUUCUGAACUUGCGAUAAACGUCAGCUAUUCAGGUAAGAUUUUUAUAAUACAUAUAUUAGAACUAUCACGUUUGACUUAUAAUAAUCUAUACUAGUGUACAAUUGGUUGCAAUAAACGGGCUAUUUUGAUGUCCGCAUAAACUGUGACCAUUUGUGUUGUGUUCACCUCACUGCGCAACUAAGGAAUGGAAAUGGUCGAGUGAAUUGUAUGCUGAGGACAUAUUUUUGACGGACCACGGCGCAAAGCCAUACCUAGUCCUACUGUUAAAAUAUGUAGCCGAAACCUGAAGAUUUACCUCGUAUUUCACUGCCUCUCGUUCAUCUUCUUUCGACUACUGUAGCCUAUCAAGCCAUGUGGCGAUAACGGUGGACAGAGAGACAAGUGGUUUUUGUUUAACAAAAUGGGAAGUGCGUUUUUAUAUUGGUUUAUAGGAAGUUUCCCCGUUUCAACUGGAAGGCUGUAUGUUGAGUUGCUGAUGUGUACCCGGGUCGGGAAUCAGAUUAUGUUCCCGAGUUGUUGUCAUUUUAUACUGAGUGACAUCGUUUAUUGCGGUGGUCAGUGAAAGAUGGAAUGUAUCAAACCACAUCCGAUUUGGUAUCUUUUCUGCAGCACUACCGCAAGCAUUCUGAAAUCUUUUACAUCUGUGAUUACAAUACAGCACAUCUACUGUUGGGAAGCUUUACCAGACAACCAGGCGUGCUUGACGCCCUACAAACCGAAGGCAACGACCUUUAGCCAGUUUACCUCUUCCGCUUUUGAAGAAUUAACGAGAAAACUGCUUUUAUUCAUAGAUCGUCAUUUUGACAGAUGGCUUCUUUUUCUGUUGUUGUUGUUGGUGAACUUUGAGUAGAUAGUGUAUUUGAUAGAAAAACAUUAUGCAGCUAGUGAUUGUUUGUUUUACCCGAGACAGCAUCAUCAAUAUAUUACAUAUUAUCAAUGAACUGUAGGAGAUACUACUGCUGCUGCUUCGCAGUAGGAGAAAGUCACAACCAACGUCUUUGGAAGUUAUGUGAGUUGAGGAGCUCCCCAGAGAUCUAACCUGUAGUGCCCACAUGUUGAAAAGACCCCCCAUUUCAUAGUGUGGGUGAAUUCCAGUCACAUUCAGGCUUUACAUUACUGGGACCAAUCACAUUCAGGCUUUACAUUACUGGGACCAAUCACAUUCAGGCUUUACAUGACUGGGACCAAUCACAUUCAGGCUUUACAUUACUGGGACCAAUCACAUUCAGGCUUUACAUUACUGGGACCAAUCACAUUCAGGCUUCACAUUACUGGGACCAAUCACAUUCAGGCUUCACAUUACUGGGACCAAUCACAUUCAGGCUUCACAUUACUGGGACCAAUCACAGUCAGGCUUCACAUUACUGGGACCAAUCACAUUCAGGCUUCACAUUACUGGGACCAAUCACUGCCAUGAACUCAAACAAGACACUUUAUUAUAGCUUUUAUCAGUGGUGCUCCACCUCUCAAUGAGUUAGAGAGCUUGUUUAUGCAGCUGGUUUGAUUUAAGAUAGAGCCUAGUUAAUUAGUCCUUAAUUAACCACAUGAGGACACAGCCUGGAGUAUGGAGACAGUAAAGUAGUUAAUUAGUCCUUCACAUGAACAGCCUGGAGUAUAGAGACAGAGUAAUAGACUGGUAGUGUGGGUCUUUACAGCAUGUCAUUGAUGAAUGUAUGACAGAUGAAUGGAGGACAUCCUUAGAAUGAGUCUCGUUGUGUCCCUACCAGAGGGAGAGAAAGGGCUGGAGGAGGGUACACCCAGACUGACACACCGCAGAUCGCAUGCAAACACACACUCCCCUUGUCUUGCCUGCAGGAAUAAGGACACAAGAUGUGUGUAGCCAGGACAUCUGCUCUCUCUUUGGCCAUUGUCAAGGAAACAUGAAGUUGGUAGUGGAAGGGACUGCCAGAGGGACCAACAGCUCACGACAACAAAAGAGGCCUUGUCAGAAACCACCAUUAAGCUGGGUCAGUUCAGUCACAAGUACUGCUAGCUGCAGGAAGGACUCGGGAUCACGCGCUCACCGGCUUAUAACGUCCUCAGAGUAUUAUUUCAGCUAGUCCUCUCUAGCCUUGUCAGGUAGAGUCACCAUCACACUAUUCACAGAAGAGAAAGGAGAAAUUCAAGUUGCUUUGGUUCAUAAUUUUUCUUCAGUGUUUUCAGACUCUAGUGGUUAGUGGGUAUAGUGUGCCUAUCAGGUUUCAGGUAAGACCCAAGUGCAGACUGUGUUGAGGUAACAAUGUUUAUUGCAACGACAGGUCAAGGCAGGCAAACGACAGGUCAAGGCAGGCAAACGACAGGUCAAGGCAGGCAAACGACAGGUCAAGGCAGGCAAACGACAGGUCAAGGCAGGCAAACGACAGGUCAAGGCAGGCAGGGGUCGAUAAUCCAGAGCAGGGGCCAAGGUACAGGACGGCAGGUAGGCCCAGGGACAAGCAGAGGUCAGCAGUCCAGAGCAGGGGCCAAGGUACAGGACGGCAGGCAGGCUCAGGUCAAGCAGAGGUCAACAGUCCAGAGCAGGGGCCAAGGUACAGGACGGCAGGCAGGCUCAGGUCAAGCAGAGGUCAACAGUCCAGAGCAGGGGCCAAGGUACAGGACGGCAGGCAGGCUCAGGUCAAGCAGAGGUCAGCAGUCCAGAGCAGGGGCCAAGGUACAGGACGGCAGGCAGGCUCAGGACAGGCAAGGGUCAAAACCAGGAGGACGAGGGAAAAAGAGAGACUGAGGAAAAGCGCUGGUUGACUUAAACAAACAAGACGAACUGGCACAGAUAGACAGAAAACACAGGUAUAAAUACACAGGGGAUAAGUGGGUAAGAUGGGUGACACCUGGAGGGGGAUGGAGACAAGCACAAAGACAGGUGAAACAGAUCAGGGUGUGACAGUAUCCUUACUCCCUUAGAGUUAAUUAGUCCUCUCUCUCUAGCCUUGUCAGGUACAGUCAUACUCCAAACUGUUCACUGAAGAGAAUUUAAACUGUUUCAUCUCUUUUCAGUUAUUUUUGGAUUAGUGUGGCUAGUGAGUUUACACUGAGUGUACAAAACAUUAGGAACACCUGCUCUUUCAAUGAGACUGACCAGGUUAAAGAUAUGAUCCCUUAUUGAUGUCACUUGUUAAAUCCACUUCAAUCAGUGUAGAUGAAGGGGAGGAGACGGGUUAAAGAAGGAUUUUUAAGCCUUGAGACGUGAGACAUGGAUUGUGUAUGUGUGCCAUUCAGAGGGUGAAUGGGAAAGACCAAAUAUUUAAGUGCCUUUGAACAGGGUAUGGUAGUAGGUGUCAGGUGCACCAGUUUGUGUCAAGAACUGCAACACUGCUGGGUUUUUCACGCUCAACAGUUUCAAUCAAUCAAUCAAUCAAUCAAUCAAAUGUAUUUAUAGAGCCCUUUUUACAACAGCAGUUGUCACAAAGUGCUUAUACAGAAACAGGCAUAAAACCCCAGAGAGCAACCAAUGCAGGUGUAGAAGCACGGUGGCUAGGAAAAACUCCCUAGAAAGGCUGGAACCUAAGAAGAAACCUAGAGAGGAACCAGGCUCUGAGGGGGUGGCCAGUCCUCUUCUGGCUGUGCCGGGUGGAGAUUAUAACAGAACAUGGCCAUUUAAGGCCAGAUUGUUCUUCAAGAUUUUCAAACGUUCAUAGAAGACCAGCAGGGUCAAAUAAUAAUCAGUGAUUUUAGAGGGUGCGAGAGGUCAGCACCUUAGGAGUUAAUGUCAGUUGGCUUUUCAUAGCCGAGCAUCCAGAGGCCGAGACAGCAUGUGCAGGGGGGGGUCUAGUGAACAGGUCAGGGUUCCAUAGCCGCAGGCAGAACAGUAGAAAAUGGAGCAGCAGCACGACCAGGUGGACUAGGGACGGGGACAGCCAGGAGUCGUCAUGCCAGGAAGUCCUGAGGCAUGUUCCUAAGGCUCAGGUCCUCCGGGAGGGGAGAGAGAGAGAUGGGAGAAUUAGAGAGAGCAUACUUGCGUUCAUACAGGACACCAGAGAUUUACACCAGAAAAGACAGAAGAUUUACACCGGAUAAGACAGGAGAUUUACACCAGUUAUGAGACUGAACCUAGCCCCCCCCCCCAGCACAUAGACUAUUGCAGCAUAGAUACUGGAGACUGUAUCAAGAAUGGUCCACCACCCAAAGGACAUCCAGCCAUGUUGACAUGACUGUGGGAAGCAAUGGAGUGAACAUGGGCCAUCAUCCUUGUGGAACGCCUUCGACACCUUGUAGAAUUGAGGCUGUUCUGAGGGCAAAAGGGGGGUGCAACUCAAUAUUAGGAAGGUGUUCCUAAUGUUUUGUACACUGUUGUCAUCAUUCGAAAGACUUGCUUUCCACCCACAUGAGAUACCAUAUUUCUGUCAAUAUCCCAUUUUCUCUCUCAUAUUUUCUACUGCAUUACAGUACAGUCCAUGUUACAGUACAGUCCAUGUUACAGUACAGUACAGUCCAUGUUACAGUCCAUGUUACAGUACAGUCCAUGUUACAGUCCAUGUUACAGUUCAUUACAUGUUACAGUCCAUGUUACACCACAGUCCAUGUUACAGUCCAUGUUACACUACAGUCCAUGUUACACUACAGUCCAUGUUACACUUCAGUCCAUGUUACAGUACAGUCCAUGUUACAGUCCAUGUUACACUACAGUCCAUGUUACAGUAUAGUCCAUGUUACAGCCCAUGUUACACUACAGUCCAUGUUACAGUCCAUGUUACAGUACAGUCCAUGUUACACUACAGUCCAUGUUACAGUCCAUGUUACACUACAGUCCAUGUUACAGUCCAUGUUACACUACAGUCCAUGUUACACUUCAGUCCAUGUUACAGUACAGUCCAUGUUACAGUCCAUGUUACACUACAGUCCAUGUUACACUACAGUCCAUAUUACACUACAGUCCAUGUUACACUACAGUCCAUGUUACACUACAGUCCAUGUUACAGUCCAUGUUACACUACAGUCCAUGUUACACUUCAGUCCAUGUUACAGUACAGUCCAUGUUACAGUCCAUGUUACACUACAGUCCAUGUUACACUACAGUCCAUGUUACACUACAGUCCAUGUUACAGUCCAUGUUACAGUCCAUGUUACACUACAGUCCAUGUUACACUACAGUCCAUGUUACACUACAGUCCAUGUUACAGUCCAUGUUACAGUAUAUAAUAACAGUCACAGCAGACUCUGGCAACAUCCCAAAUGGCGCCUUAUUCCCUAUAUAGUGCACUACCUUUGAUCAGAGCCCUACACUACAUAGGGAAUAGGGUGCUAUUUGGGACGCGACAUCUCUUACUCUAUGGGUGAAUAACAGUCUCCGUUAAGCCCUGCGUUAAAAUGUUCUCAUGUUGAGGACCACUAUGGUGGAUUUAUAGGUGAUGGUUCUCCUGUUGAGGACCACUAUGGUGGAUUUAUUGAUGAUGGUUGAGGACCACUAUGGUGGAUUUAUAGGUGAUGGUUGAGGACCACUAUGGUGGAUUUAUAGGUUAUGGUUCUGUUGAGGACCACUAUGGUGGAUUUAUAGGUGAUGGUUGAGGACCACUAUGGUGGAUUUAUAGGUGAUGGUUCUCCUGUUGAGGACCACUAUGGUGGAUUUAUAGGUGAUGGUUCUCCUGUUGAGGACCACUAUGGUGGAUGUAUAGGUGAUAGUUGAGGACCACUAUGGGGGAUGUAUAGGUGAUGGUUGAGGACCACUAUGGUGGAUUUAUAGGUGAUGGUUCUCCUGUUGAGGACCACUAUGGUGGAUUUAUAGGUGAUGGUUCUCCUGUUGAGGACUACUAUGGUGGAUGUAUAGGUGAUGGUUCUCCUGUAUACAUUAGAUAUCUGAUGCCUAUACUGUACCAUUCUGCCCUCCAUGGAACUAAUCAUACGUUAGUAGUGUACGUCCCUGCUGGCACUGAUCAGUGCUGGUUGGUUUCCCCCUCUAGUUAAAAUGGAGGCUGUGUGUUAACGCCUAGAGGGGAUAGUCCAGAAGCACUAGUGUUUUCUGACUGAACAGAGAGGAAAUAGAUCCUCCCUCUAGCUCAGCCCGUCUGAGUCGUCUUUUGGUUUUGUUUUCCUGUUUGAUAAGUGAAAGGACCGGGUCAGAAUCAGGAAUGUUAAGAAAGAGGACAUUUGACGGUAGUGGUGCUAUCGGGGCAGCUCCACUGUAUAGUACAAAUAGUUAAUGAAUGGCUCCCUGUGUUUCUUUUGGGUCAAUUUGAAUAUGUGCUUUUAAUUGGUCUCUGUAGGUCUCUGUCUUCUCUCUCUCUCUCUCUCUCUCUCUCUCUCUCUCUCUCUCUCUCUCUCUCUCUCUCUCUCUCUCUCUGUCUCUGUCUCUGUCUCUGUGUCUGUGUCUCUCUCUCUGUCUUCUUUCUUUCUCCUUGUCUCUUCCCUCUCUCUCUCUCUCUCUCUCUCUCUCACCAUGACUGACUAGCUUCUCUUUCACUCACUCACUCACUCACUCACUCACUCACUCACUCACUCACUCACUCACUCACUCACUCACUCACUCACUCACUCACUCACUCACUCACUCACUCACUCACUCACUCACCACGACUGACUAGCUGCUCUCUCUCUUUCACCAAGACACACACACACACACACACACACACACACACACACACACACACACACAUACAUACAUACAGGUGUAUGGUGCCAGUCUGAUGUAAUGUCAAGCAAUGGAGCAGUGAUAGACACCAAUUAUCAUCCUAGUUAUUCAUUAUUUUCUGUCUUACAACUUAAUACUCUUUUAAUUGAAUGUCUAUUAAUUGAUGUGCUCCUGAGUCCAUACUUGGUAAUAUAAUCCACCAAGGAGAUGUCAAAGACAAAAGUCUUUAUUAUCUUAAGGAGAGGAGUCUACUGAGAUGUUAAAGUCCCCUGCUCAGUCGGUGUAUCUCGUUAUAAAACGGACAUCCUGUCAAAUGAAAAUGACAACGUAUCAUCAUCCGUAUUAAAAAGGGGUAAAGGAAUUGCUAUUAAAUAAUGAACUCAGCCGUGCUCUUGUUGUAAUGUCAGCCUGCUUAUAUAGGGGGUGUGAUUAUGGUAUUUUAUGAAGCGUCUUCUCAACGAGGAGUAAAAACCAAGCUUCAAGGUUAAAUGUGUGAAGGCCAAGCGUUUGGAGGGUGAGGCGGUGCGAGGGGAGGGUUGAUAAAUUUCACAUCCCGUAAUGUGAUUUGCGAUAUCUCCUCUUCUCCUGCCCUUGGUAGUGGGAGAUGUGGCGAGGUAUUAUUAACGACGCUCUGCCGUGUAAGUGUUUACAGAAAUAUUAAACAGAAUCGAUGAGAGAAGGUGUGGAUGAUUACAAAUUCACCAUCAUUCCAGCUUCCCAGCUUGAUGUUUCGUUACUGAAUACAAAUUCACUGGUUAAACCACUGGUGUGCAGUAGUAAAAAUGAGUGUAGAGAGACACCGCAAACACGUGAGGACCAGGAUGGGCGGUAGUUCCAGGAAGACAUCAGAGAGCAUAAUUCAUUCCAGGGCAUUCUAUAAGACCAGGGUGUGUGUGUGUGUGUGUGUGUGUGUGUGUGUGUGUGAGAAGGCUGUUCAUUGACUACAGCUCAGCGUUCAACACCAUAGUGCCCACGAAGCUCAUCACUAAAGUAAGGACCCUGAGACUAAACACCUCCCUCUGCAACUGGAUCCUGGACUUCCUGACGGGCCACCCCCAGGUGGUAAGAGUAGGCAACAACACGUCUGCCACGCUGAUCCUUAACACUGGAGCCCCUCAGGGGUGUGCACUUAGUCCCCUCCUGUAUUCCCUGUUUACCCACGACUGCGUGGCCAAACACGACUCCAACACCAUCAUUAAGUUUGCUGACGACACAAUAGUGGUAGGCCUGAUCACCGACAACGAUGAGACAGCCUAUAGCGAGGAGGUCAGAGACCUGGCAGUGUGGUGCCAGGACAACAACCUCUCCCUCAACGUGAGCAAGACAAAGGAGCUGAUCAUGGACUACAGGAAAAGGCGGGCCGAACAGGCCCCCAUUAACAUCGACGGGGCUGUAGUGGAGCGGGUCGAGAGUUUCAAGUUCCUUGGUGUCCACAUCACCAACAGACUAUCAUGGUCCAAACACACCAAGACAGUCGUGAAGAGGGCACAGCAAAACCUUUUCCCCCUCAGGAGACUGAAAAGAUUUGGCAUGGGUCCCUAGAUCAUCAAAAGUUUCUACAGUUGCACCAUCGAGAGCAUCCUGACCGGUUGCAUCACUGCCUGGUAUGGCAACUGCUCGGCAUCUGAGCAUAAGGCGCUACAGAGGGUAGUGCGAACGGCCUAGUACAUCACUGGGGCCAAGCUUCCUACCAUCCAGGACCUAUAUACCAGGCGGUGUCAGAGGAAGGCCCAUAAAAUUGUCAGAGACUCCAGUCACCCAAGUCAUAGACUGUUCUCUCUGCUACCGCACGGUAAGCGGUUCCGGAGCGCCAAGUCUAGGUCCGAGAGGCUUCUGAACAGCUUCUGCCCCCCCAAGCCAUAAGACUCCUGAACAGCUAAUCAAAUGGCUACCCUGACUAUUUGCAUUCCCCCCCCUCUCCUCCUGUUUUACACCACUGCUCCUCUCUGUUGUUAUCAUCUAUGCAUAGUCACUUUAAUACGUUUACAUACACCUUAGCCAAAUACAUUUAAACUCCGUUUUUCACAAUUCCUGACAUUUAAUCCUAGUAAAGAAUUCCCUGUUUUAGGUCAGUUAGGAUCACCACUUUAUUUUAAGAAUGGCUAGCUACUAGUACUGUUAGCUAGCCAGAUAGCCACAAAUAAUAGUUAGCUAGCCAGCUACCCACAAAGAAUUGGUAUCUACCUUGCAUAACGUUAGUUUUAGGUCAUAUAGUGUACAUAUACUGUAUCUAGCUGAUAGUUAUGAAGUAAUACGUUUGCUUUUUGUAUAUCUUGUUUGGUCUCUAUUGUUGUCAUUGUCCUGGCUGGAAGAAUGUUCAGUGAAUGGAGAGGUGCAGCGUGAGGUAAUACAGUAGGGGGGAGUGCUGCUCAGCGUGAGGUAAUAUAGUAGGGGGAGUGCUGCUCAGCGUGAGGUAAUACAGUAGGGGGAGUGCUGCUCAGCGUGAGGUAAUAUAGUAGGGGGAGUGCUGCUCAGCGUGAGGUAAUACAGUAGGGGGAGUGCUGCUCAGCGUGAGGUAAUACAGUAGGGGGAGUGCUGCUCAGCGUGAGGUAAUACAGUAGGCGGUGUGCUGCUCGUCGUGAGGUAAUACAGUAGAGGGAGUGCUGCUCGGCGUGAGGUAAUACAGUAGAGGGAGUGCUGCUCAGCGUGAGGUAAUACAGUAGAGGGAGUGCUGCUCGUUCUGAGGUAAUACAGUAGGGGGAGUGCUGCUCGGCGUAAGGUAAUACAGUAGGGGGAGUGCUGCUCGGCGUGAGGUAAUACAGUAUGGGGAGUGCUGCUCAGAGUGAGGUAAUACAGUAUGGGGAGUGCUGCUCAGUGUGAGGUAAUACAGUAGGGGGAGUGCUGCUCGGCGUGAGUUAAUACAAUAGGGGGAGUGCUGCUCAGCGUGGGGUAAUACAGUAGGGGGAGUCCUGCUCAGCGUGAGGUAAUACAGUAGGGAGAGUGCUGCUCAGCGUGAGGUAAUACAGUAGGGGGAGUGCUGCUCAGCGUGAGGUAAUACAGUAGGGGGAGUGCUGCUCAGCGUGAGGUAAUACAGUAGGGGGAGUGCUGCUCAGCGUGAGGUAAUACAGUAGAGGGAGUGCUGCUCAGCGUGAGGUAAUACAGUAGGGGGAGUGCUGCUCAGCGUGAGGUAAUACAGUAGGGGGAGUGCUGCUCAGAGUGAGGUAAUACAGUAUGGGGAGUGCUGCUCAGAGUGAGGUAAUACAGUAUGGGGAGUGCUGCUCGGCGUGAGGUAAUACAGUAGGGGGAGUCCUGCUCAGCGUGAGGUAAUACAGUAGGGAGAGUGCUGCUCAGCGUGAGGUAAUACAGUAGGGGGAGUGCUGCUCAGCGUGAGGUAAUACAGUAGGGGGAGUGCUGCUCAGCGUGAGGUAAUACAGUAGGGGGAGUGCUGCUCAGCGUGAGAUAAUACAGUAGGGGGAGUGCUGCUCAGCGUGAGGUAAUACAGUAGGGGGAGUGCUGCUCAGCGUGAGGUAAUACAGUAGGGGGGAGUGCUGCUCAGCGUGAGGUAAUACAGUAGAGGGAGUGCUGCUCAGCGUGAGGUAAUACAGUAGGGGGAGUGCUGCUCAGCGUGAGGUAAUACAGUAGGGGGAGUGCUGCUCAGCGUGAGGUAAUACAGUAGGGGGAGUGCUGCUCAGCGUGAGAUAAUACAGUAGGGGGAGUGCUGCUCAAAUGGAAUGUUUUAUGUGCUCUCCACACUCUCAUCCUCAGAAGAAGGUACUCAAGAGAACGUACUCAGAGCAUGAGAGUGUGGAGCGUGGUAGUAUGCAUAUUGAGAAACAGACAGAGAUAGACACAGAGUGUGUGUGUGUGUGUGUGUGUGUGUUACUCUGCUCGACCGUCGUUGAUUACUCAUCUGAAUUAGCCAACAGACUACAGGUCACCUUCCUCAUUGACCGACAUGAUAGAUGAUACAACGUUAGUAGUCUGUAUGCCUGUGUGUCAGUGCAUGAUACUGUGUCCAGCACUGCAUGUCAGAGCUCAGUAAUCCAUGCUACGGUUCAGCUGUGUCCAUGAUGCAGUCUCUGUCUCACACACACACACACACACACACACACACACACACACACACACACACACACACACACACACACACACACACACACACACACUCUGUGUCUAUCUCUGGCUGUUUCUCAAUAUGCAUACUACCACGCUCCACACUCUCAUGCUCUGAGUCUGUCCGGCUCCAUAGGGUAGCACAGAGUGUGUGUGUGUGUGUGCGCGUGUGUGUACAGUAGGGAUGGGUUUUUGAAAUAAUUUCACUAUUCGAAUAGUAUCAUGAAUUUUUGUUGGAUACCUGAAAUACAUGUGUUUUUGUAAACAUACGAUUUUUAACCUGAGCACUGCUGCGCGAGGAAAUGAGGCUGGCGUUCGAUUGUUGCAGCUGUGGAGGGGAUGGUAUGUGAGAUGGGAGCGAGCAGACGGAGGGAGAGAGGGAGCAGUAGCCAAAGCAACUCGGCUACAGCCAAAACUAGAUAACUUGCAGCAGCCAACUAGCUAGCUAGGCUAUUUGAGGCUACAGCCAAGACUAGCUAACUUGCAACAGCCAACUAGCUAGCUAGGCUAAUUGAGGCUACAGCCAAGACUAGCUAACUUGCAGCAGCCAACUAGCUAGCUAGGCUAAUUGAGGCUACAGCCAAGACUAGCUUACUUGCAGCAGCCAACUAGCUAGCUAGGCUAAUUGAGGCUACAGACAAGACUAGCUAACUUGCAGCAGCCAACUAGCUAGCUAGGCUAAUUGAGGCUACAGCCAAGACUAGCUAACUUCCAGCAGCCAACUAGCUAGCUAGGCUAAUUGAGGCUACAUGCUGUGCUUUCUCCAUAACCCCAUUCAGAUAAAACCACAGCCUACCUCGUCGUAGUCUACUCCUUCUCAUUUCACUAACUUUUAAAUCAAUAAUUUAAUUACAUCUUGCAUUGUGUUAGAGAACUCUCACUCCUCUUGGUACACAUUGAGCCUCUUUGUCACUUUGAUUUGCCAACAUAAACAAGCUAUACACGUGACGGCUACAAGUCUUUGUUAGGGGGCGCAGGGCUCCCGAGUGGGGCAGUGGUCUAAGGCACUGCAUCUCAGUACUAGAGGCAUCACUACAGACACACCCUGGUUCGAAUCCAGGUUGUAUCACCACCGGCCGUGAUUGGGAGUCCCAUAGGGCGUCGUCCGGGUUUGACUGGUGUAGGCUGUCAUUGUAAAUAAGAAUUUGUUCUUAACUGACUUGCCUAGUUAAAUGAAGGUCAAAUAAAUAAAUAUAUACUGUAUUUAUAGUCCACAUAUUCUAAGUCAGAACAGUCCAGAGCAGUUAAUCUAGUCGGGCAGGCGGGUGUGGGCAGCGAUUGGUUCAAGAGCAUGCAUUUCGUUUUACUUGCAUUUAAGAGCAGUUGGAUACCACGGAAGGAGUGUUGUAUGGCAUUGAAGCUCGUUUGGAGGUUUGUUAGCACAGUGUCCAAAGAAGGGCCAGAUGUAUACAUUAUGGUGACGUCUGCGUAGAGGUGGAUCAAAGAAUCACCCGCACCAAGAGCGACAUCAUUGAUAUAUACAGAGAAGAGAGUCGGCCCGAGAAUUGAACCCUGUGGCACCCCCAUAGAGACUGCCAGAGGUCCAGACAACAGGCCCUCCGAUUUGACACACUGAACUCUGUCUGAGAAGUAGAUAUGAACCACGUGAGGCAGUCAUUUGAGACACCAAGGCUGUUGAGUCUCCUGCUAAGAGUACAGUGAUUGAUAGAGUCGAAAGCCUUGGCCAGGUCGAUGAAGACAGCUGCACAGUACUGUCUUUUAUCGAUGGCGGUUAUGAUAAGGUUUAGGACCUUGAGUAUGGCUGAGGUGCACCCGUGACCAGCUCGGAAACCAGAUUGCAUAGCGGAGAAGGUACGAUGGGAUUCGAAAUGGUCGGUGAUCUGUUUGUUCACUUGGCUUUCGAAGACAUUUGAAAGGCAGGGCAGGAUGAAUAUAGGUCUGUAACAGUUUGGGUCUAGAGUGUCUCCCCUUUGAAGAGGGGGAUGACCGCGGCCGCUUUCCAAUCUUUAUGAAUCUCAGACGGUACGAAAGAGAGGUUGAACAGACUAGUAAUAGGGGUUGCAACAAUGGCGGCGGAUACUUUUAGGAAGAGAGGGUCCAGAUUGUCUAGCCCAGCUGAUUUUUAGGGGUCCAGGUUUUACAGCUCUUUAAGAACAUUUGCUAUCUGGAUUUGGGUGAAGGAGAAGCAGGGGGGGCUUGGGCCAGUAGCUACGGGGGAUGCAGGGCUGUUGGCCGGGGUUGGGGUAGCCAGGUGGAAAGCAUGGCCAGCCGUAGAGAAAUGCUUAUUGAAAUUCUCAAUUAUCAUGGAUUUAUCAGUGGUGACAGUGUUUCCUAUCCUCAGUGCAGUGGGCAGCUGGGAGGAGGUGCUCUUAUGCUCCAUGGACUUUACAGUGUCCCAAAACUUUUGGGAAUUAGUGCUGCAGGAUGCAAAUUUCUGUUUGGAAAAGCUAGCCUUUGCUUUCCUAACUGACUGUGUGUAUUGGUUCCUGACUUCCCUGAAAAGUUUAAUAUUGCGGGGACUAUUAGAAGCUAGUGCAGUACGCCACAGGAUGUUUUUGUGCUGGUGAAGGGCAGUCAAGUCUGGAGUGAACUAAGGGCUAUAUCUGUUCUUAGUUCUACAUUUUUGCUUAUUUAAGAUGGUGAGGAAAGCACUUUUAAAGAACAACCAGGCAUCCUCAACUGACGGGAUGAGGUCAAUAUCCAGUUUGAUUAGAAAGGCCUUCUCGCUGAAUUAUUUUAGGGAGCGUUUGACAGUGAUGAGGGGUGGUCGUUUGACCGCGGACCCAUAACGGAUGCAGGCAAUGAGGGAGUGAUCACUGAGAUCCUGGUUGAAAACAGCAGAGGUGUAUUUAGAGGGCAAGUUGGUCAGGAUGAUAUCUAUGAGGGUGCCCAUGGUUUCGGAUUUGGGGUUGUACCUGGUGGGUUCCUUGAUAAUUUGUGUGAGAUUGAGGGCAUCUAGUUUAGAUUGUAGGAUGGCUGGGGUGUUAAGCAUAUCCCAAUUUAGGUCACCUAGCAGUACGAAUUCUGACGAUAGAUGAGGGGGCAAUCAAUUCACAAAUGGUGUCCAGGGCACAGCUGGGAGCUGAGGCGGGUCUAUAACAAGCGGCAACAGUGAGGGACUUAUUUCUGGAGAGAUGGAUCUUUAAAAGUAGAAGCUCGAACUGUUUGGGCAUAGACCUGGAUAGUAUGACAGAACUCUGCAGGCUAUCUCUGCAGUAGAUUGCAACUCCACCCCCUUUAGCAGUUCUGUCUUGACGGAAAAUGUUGUAAUUGGGGAUGGAAAUUUGAGGAUUUUAGGUUGCCUUCCUAAGCCAGGAUUCCGAAACGUUUAGGACAUCAGGGUUGGCAGAGUGUGCUAAAGCAGUGAAUAAAACAAACUUAGGGAGGAGACUUCUGAUGUUAACAUGCAUGAACCCAAGGCUUAAACUCCAGAGGUGAGGUCUAAUGGCAGCAGAACUACAGUAAACCCCAGAGGUGAGGUCUAAUGGCAGCAGAACUACAGUAAACCCCAGAGGGGAGGUCUAAUGGCAGCAGAACUACAGUAAACCCCAGAGGUGAGGUCUAAUGGCAGCAGAACUACAGUAAACCCCAGAGGUGAGGUCUAAUGGCAGCAGAACUACAGUAAACCCCAGAGGGGAGAUCUAAUGGCAGCAGAAAUACAGUAAACCCCAGAGGUGAGGUCUAAUGGCAGCAGAACUACAGUAAACCCCAGAGGUGAGGUCUAAUGGCAGCAGAACUACAGUAAACCCCAGAGGUGAGGUCUAAUGGCAGCAGAACUACAGUAAACCCCAGAGGUGAGGUCUAAUGGCAGCAGAACUACAGUAAACCCCAGAGGGGAGGUCUAAUGGCAGCAGAACUACAGUAAACCCCAGAGGUGAGGUCUAAUGGCAGCAGAACUACAGUAAACCCCAGAGGUGAGGUCUAAUGGCAGCAGAACUACAGUAAACCCCAGAGGGGAGAUCUAAUGGCAGCAGAAAUACAGUAAACCCCAGAGGUGAGGUCUAAUGGCAGCAGAACUACAGUAAACCCCAGAGAUCCAGAGGUGAGGUCUAAUGGCGGUGGGAGGAGAAUUAGUUUGUUGUAACUUGGCAAGAUGAUUGGCUAUGGUGUGACAUUAACCUCCUCCUGGAUGCUAAUGAAACCAGUUAUGUCCUUGGAGAGUUAUGGAGGAUUAUUUCUCAACCCUCAAUAUCUUCUUUUCUCCUCCCUUCUUCUCCCUCCUCUUCACCCUCUUUUCCUUUCCUCCCUCUCCUCUCCUCUCCUCCCCCUCAUCUCCUCUCCUCCCCCUCAUCUCCUCUCCUCCCCCCUCAUCUCCUCUCCUCCCCCCUCAUCUCCUCUCCUCUCCUCCCCCCUCAUCUCCUCUCCUCCCUCCCCUCCUCCUCUCCUCUCCUCCCUCCCCCUCAUCUCCUCUCCUCUCCUCCCUUCUCUCCCCUUUUCUCCUGUCCUCCAAUAACAG
rnacentral:lncRNA from 1 species